rnacentral:rRNA from 1 species
UCCUUAUCAAGCCCGUAUUCACUAUACUCGUUAAUGACGCACCUUC